AACAGGAUAGUCAGUUUUACGAUGGUAUGUUUGGCAGCAUGAGUGAAGAAUGCUUUGUUGUGAAAUAGGAGACCGAUUCUAGAUUUAAGUUUGGAUUGGAGAUGUUUAAUGUGAGUCUGGAAGGAUAGUUUACAGUCUAACCAGACACGUAGGUAUCUGUAGUUGUCCACACAUGUAGUUGUCACAUAUUCAAUUUCAGAACCGUCCAGAGUAGUGAUGCUAGUCGGGCAGGCGGGUGUUGGCAGUGAUCGGUUGAAGAGCAUGCAUUUAGUUUUACUUGCAUUUAAGAGCAGUUGGAGGCCACGGAAGGAGAGUUGUAGCUCAUCUGGAGGUUAGUUAACACAGUGUCCAACGAAGGGCCAGAGGUACACAGAAUGGUGUUGUCUGCGUAGAGGUGGAUCAAAGAAUCACAAGCAGCGAGAGCGACAUCAUUGAUGUAUACAGAGAAGAGAGUCGGCCCGAGAAUUUAACCCUGUGGCACCCCCAUAGAGACUGCCAGAGGUCCGGACAAUCGGACCCCGAUUUGACAUACUGAACUCUAUCGGAGAAGUGGUUGGUGAACCAAGCGAGACAAUCAUUUGAGAAACCAAGGCUGUUGAGUCUGCCAAUAAGAAUGCUGUGAUUGACGGAGUCGAAAGCCUUAGCCAGGUCGAUGAAUACGGCUGCACAGUAAUGUCUCUUAUCGAUGGCGGUUAUGAUAUCGUUUAGGACCUUGAGCGUGGCUGAGGUGCACCCAUGACCAGCUCUAAAACCAGAUUGCAUAGCGGAGAAAGUAUGGUGAGAUUCGAAAUGGUUGGUAAUCUGUUUGUUAACUUGCCUUUCAAAGACCUUAGAAAGGCAGGAUAGAAUAGAUAUAGGUCUGUAGCAGUUUGGGUCGAGAGUGUCUCCCCCUUUGAAGAGGGGGAUGACCACGGCAGCUUUCUAAUCUAUGGAAAUCUCAGAUGAUAUGAAAGAGAGGUUGAACAGGCCAGUAUUAGGGGUUGCAAUAAUUUCGGCAGAUCAUUUUAGAAAGAGAGGGUCCAGAUUGUCUAGCCCGGCUGAUUUGUAGGGGUCCAGAUUUUGCAGCUCUUUCAGAACAUCAACUAUCUGGAUUUGGGUGAAGGAGAAGUGGGGGAGGUUUGGGUGAGUUGCUGUGGGGAGCGUAGGGCUAUUGAACGGGGUAGGGGUAGCCAAGUGGAAAGCAUGGUCAGCUGUAGAUAAAUGCUUUUUGAAUUUCUCAAUUAUUGUGGAUUUAUCUGUAAAGACAGUAUUUCCUAGCCCCAGUACAGUGAGCAGCUGGGAGGAGGUGCUCUUAUUCUCCAUGGACUUUACAGUGUCCAAGAACAUUUUUGAAUUUGUACUACAGGAUGCACAUUUCAGUUUGAAAAGCUAGCCUUAGCUUUCCUAACUGCCUGUGUAUAUUGGUUCCUAACUUCCCUAAAAAGUUGCAUAUCACAGGGGCUAUUCGAUGCUAAUGCAGAAUGUCACAGGAUGUUUUUGUGCUGGUCAUGGGCAGACAGGUCUGGAAUGAACCAAGGGCUUUAUCUAUUCCUAGUGCUACAUUUUUUUGAAUGGAGCAUGUUCAUUGGCGAGGAAGGCUCUUUUAAAGAAUAACCAAGCAUCCUCUACUGAGGCGAUGAGGUCAAUGUCAUUCCAGGAUACUCCGGCCAGGUCAAUUAGAAGGGCCUGUUCACAGAAGUGUUUUAGGGAGCAUUUGACAGUGAGGAGGGGUGGUCGUUUGCCCGCAGACCCAUUACGGAUGCAGGCAAUGAAGCAGUGAUCGCUGAGAUCUUGGUUGAGAACAGCAGAGGUGUAUUUGGAGGGCGAGUUAGUUCGGAUGAUAUCUAUGAGUGUGCCCGUGUUUACGGAUUUGGGGUUGUACCUGGUAGGUUCAAUGAUAAUUUGUGUGAGAUUAAGGGCAUCAAGCAUAGAUUGUAGGAUGGCCGGGGUGUUAAGCAUGUCCCAGUUUAGGUCACCUAGCAGUACAAGCUCAGAAGAUAGAUGGGGGCAAUCAAUUCACAUAUGGUGUCCAGGGCACAGCUGGGGGCAGAGGGUGGUCUAUAGCAAGCGGCAAUGGUGAGAGACCUGUUUCUGGAAAGGUGAAUUUUUAGAAGUAGAAGCUCGAAUUGUUUUGGUACAGACCUGAAUAGUAAGACAGAACUCUGCAGGCUAUCUCUGCAGUAGAUGGUAGUUCUAUCUUGGCGGAAAAUGUUAUUGUUAGGGAUAGUUAGGGAUGUGGUAAUAUCACUUCAAAAUGACUUGUUGGAGUUUCCUGUCUGUGCGUUGUUUGUGUGUCUUGUUUUGUAUUGUUUAAUUAAUUUAUUAAAACACUCACUCCCUAAACUUGCUUUCUGACUCUCAGUGCACAUCAUUACACUAAGGGAUAGGGUUCUGUCCAAGAAUUGUUUUCUUCUGAAGAACCCAUUUUUGGUUAUUGUUUAUUUAACUUGUUAGUCCCACUAAGUACUGUACAAACCAGAUGGGAUGGCGUAUCGCUGCAGAAUGCUGUGGGCCUUAAAUAUUAAAUAAAUUACAGACAGUGUCAACAGAAAUGCACCCCCACACCAUCACACCUCUUCCUCCAUGCUUCACGGUGGGAACCACACAUGCAGAGAUAAUCCUUUCACCUACAGUUGUGGCCAAAAGUUUUGAGAAUGACACAAAUAUUAAUUUUCACAAAGUCUGCUGCCUCAGUUUGUAUGAUGGCAAUUUGCAUAUACUCCAGAAUGUUAUGAAGAGUGAUCAGAGGAAUUGCAAUUAAUUGCGAAGUCUCUCUUUGCCAUGCAAAUGAACUGAAUCCCCCCCAAAACAUUUCCACUGCAUUUCAGCCCUGCCACAAAAGGACCAGCUGACAUCAUGUCAGUGAUUCAUGUCAAGAAAGUCCAGCAAGCGCCAGGACCGUCUCCUAAAGUUGAUUCAGCUGCGGGAUUGGGGCACCACAAGUACAGAGCUUGCUCAGGAAUGGCAGAGGGCAGGUGUGAGUUCAUCUGCACGCACAGUGAGGCAAAGACUUUUGGAGGAUGGCCUGGUGUCAAGAAGGGCAGCAAAGAAGCCACUUCUCUCCAGGAAAAACGUCAGGGACAGACUGAUAUUCUGCAAAAUGUACAGGGAUUGGACUGCUGAGGACUGGAGUAAAGUAAUUUUCUCUGAUGAAUCUCCUUUCCGAUUGUUUGGUGCAUCCGUAAAAAAGUUUGUCCGGAGAAGACAAGAUGAGCGCUACCAUCAGCCUUUGACACUUGUGAAAAUGCUUGUAAUUAUACUUCAGUAUUCCAUAGUAACAUCUGACAAAAAUAUCUAAAGACACUGAAGCAGCAAACUUUGUGAAAAUUUAUAUUUGUGUCAUUCUCAAAACUUUUGGCCACGACUGUACUCUGCGUCUCACAAAGGCACACUAGUUGGAAUCAAAAAUCGCAAUUAUGGACUCAUCAGACCAAAGGACAGAUUUCCACUAGUCUAAUGUCCAUUGCUUGUGUUUCUUGGCCCAUGCAAGUCUCUUCUUAUUAUUUGUGUCCUUGAGUAGUGGUUUCUUUGCAAUUCGACCACAAAGGCCUGAUUCACGCAGUCUUCUCUGAACAGUUGAUGUUGAGAUGUAUCUGUUGAUGUUGAGACUUAUCCUCUGCAGCAGAGGCGACUCUGGGUCUUCCUUUUCUGUGUUGGUCCUCAUGAGAGCCAGUUUCAUCAUAGCACUUGAUGGUUUUGCGGCUGCACUUGAAGAAACUUUUAAAGUUCUUGAAAUUUUCUGGAUUGACUGACCUUCAUUUCUUAAAGUAAUGAUGGGCUGUUGUUUCUCUUUGUUAUUUGAGCUGUUCUUACCAUAAUAUGGACUUGGUAUUUUACCAAAUAGGGUUGUCUUCUGUAUACCUCCCCUACCUUGUCACAACACAACUGAUCGGCUCGAACACAUUAAGAAAGCCAUUUUUAUUUUAUAUUUUUUAAUACAUUUGCAAAAAAUUCUACAAACCUGUUUUUGCUUUGUCGUUAUGGGUAUUGUGUGUAGAUUGAUGAGGACAAUUGCUUAUAUAAUCAAUUUGGAAUAAGGCUGUAAUGUAACAAAAUGUGGCAAAAGUGAAGGGGUCUGAAUACUUUCUGAAUACACUGUAUGUAUAUGUAAUGUAACAAAAAAGCUUAUUGACCGUUGGUAUGAGGUUCUUACUGUAUAAUGCAGUUUUUUUAGUAUCUGAGUUAAAGCUAUUCCGCAUCGAAGAGUGGGACAAAAUUCCUUAAUGGGACCCAUGUCAUCCAAAACAUUGACUCGUUGGCCAAAAAAUAAUCUGGAUACACCUGGAUGCACUUUUGGAAAAAUGUUCUAUGGAGAGAUGAUUCAAAAGUAUAACUUUUUGGAUGAGAUGGGUCCCAUUAUGCCUGGCGAAAACCAAACACUGCAUUCCACAAUAAGAACCUCUUGCCAACGGUCAAGCAUGGUGGUGGUAGCGUGAUGGUUUGGAGAUGGCUUUUGGUGCCACAGGAUCUGUAUGACUUGCCUUAAUAGAAGGAACUAUGAAUUCUCCUCUGAAUUCUACAGGAUAUAUUGGGGCAUCUGGCUGUGAGCUGAAGCUGAAGUGCAAUGCAGCAAGACUAUGAUGCAAAACACAAAUUGAUGUUUUCAAAUGGUCCAGUCAAAGUCCAGACCUAAUCCCAAAUGAGAUGCUGUGGCAGGAUUUGAAACGAGCAGUACAUGCUUGAAAAUACCCCCAAAGUAUCUGAGUUAAAGCCAUUCCACAUGGAAGAGUGGGCCAAACUUUCUCCACAACAACAUGAGAGACUGGUCAACAACUACAGGAAGUGUUUGGUUGAAGUGAUAAGUGGCAGAACUAUGGACCAUCCUCUGGUGUGGGUUUUCAUCCUGGUGCUGCUCAACUUCACUACUGGUAAAAGUAGACAAUAUGCUCAUUCCGGGAAAUAUAUUGCUCCCUAUUUGUGCUCUAUGUCACAAAGGCUUUGUUAAAUAAGUAACAGGUUGUUCAAAUGUCUCUGUUCUGUUGAUGCACUUCAGUUUGGUUGCAGUCAUUGUGGCUAAACCAGUGUAAAGGGGCGAUUCCUUUGUAGCAUCGUGGAAUUGGGUGUUGCACAACUUUUUUCAUUACAUAAAUAAAAUACUUUUUAUGAACUCAGGUUCCCUUUAUCUAAUAUUGGGUUUUGGUUGAAGAUCUGAUAACAUUUGGUAUCAAAACUAUGCAGAAAUAUAGAACAUCAAAAAGAGGCAAAUACUUUUUCGCAGCGCAGUAAGUGUUUUCUUGACAGGUUCCCAUGAGCCCACGUUGCCUCAGCCACUGUGGAUGUAUCAUGAGUUUCAACUGGGUCAGAGAACAGUAAACCAUAAUCAACAUGAAAACAACCCCGUGUGUCAACAAAAAAUACAGUGGGAAAAAGGUACUUGGGCAAAACAGGGCGUUGGUAGUUGGGUAGGUGUGUGUGAGUGUGUUCUGGCUGCAGGUAGGGUGGGCAGGUACAUUGGCAUCACCUAACUAUUUGUUGAUUGAGAGGAGACUGUGGCUGUGCAGUAUUGUCAUCUUUCGAUUUAUCAAGAAGUCUGGACAGUCAUUUGGUGCAUAGGAAAGUGUCUUGUUCAUAUCUGAUCCGUGGUGUUUGAAGUGGCAGAACUAUGGACCAUCCUCUGGUGUGGGUUCUCAUCCUGGUGCUGCUCAACUUCAAUACAGAUGUCUCUGGCCAAGUGGUGGUUCCCUCGAUGAACCCCUUAGCUGUGGGCAGUAAUGUCACACUGAACCUAGUUCCCGAAAGCCCCAUCAACAUAGGGACCUGGUCAUAUGAAACUCCAACCAUCGUACUUUUCUAUCCUGAUGGCAGUAUUGUGAGUACAAGUUAUCAAGGCAGAGUCUCAUUCAACCGCUCCUCCUCAGAGCUGUCCAUAAGCUCUCUCCAACUCAACGACUCAGGACGAUAUACCGUCCAGGGAAUGCAUUCAGUCCUGAAAACUGUGGUGACUUUGUCUGUCCAGGAGCCCAUUUCAAACGUGACUCUAAGGGCCAACGCCACUGAUCUAGUGGAAUUAAACGACACUGCCAUUUUCACCUGCUCCGUCUCCUCUGGUACCUCCCUCUCCUACCGCUGGAUGAAUGGCAGCUCAGAGGUUGCAGCCAGUGACUGAGUUCGGCUUGGUGUUGGGAACAGCACUCUCUCCAUAGUCAGUGUGACACGUUACGAUGAAGGGCCGUUCAGAUGUGAGGUCAUCAAUGGAAUCAACAAUGGCACCAGCCAGCCCAUUGGCCUCAAUGUUAGAUUUGGACCAGAGAGACCUGAUGUAACUAGUCCAGAUAUAGCAAUGACAGGACACAUCGUGACAUUCAACUGCUCGGCCUCCUCUCAGCCUCCCAGCCAGUUCAGCUGGUUCUUCAAUGGCUCCCAGGUGGUGACUGGCUCAGUGUAUGAGACUGGCCCACUGACCUUAGCCAGUCAUGGGGAGUACACCUGUGUGGCCUUCAACAACAUCACUGUCAGAAACAGCACUGUCUCCAAGAUGCUCACUGUUGUUGUGCCAAUAACCUCAGUGUCCAUAAGCACCGGUGGAAACCAGGCGAUAGAGGAUGACUCCUUUACAAUGACUUGCAAUAUUGUCGGUGAUCCUAGCUCCAUUCAUUGGUGGAAGAACCACACGUCAGUGCGUCUAGAUAACAGAACACAUGUAUCUUUCGACAACAGAACAUUGGCCUUCAACCCUGUACAGCAUUCAGACUAUGGAGAAUAUCAGUGUAUGGCCAGAAAUAGUAUGGACCCAAGCAACCUGUGAUAGCUGGUGCACCCAUUGCCGAAACAGAACAAAGAGUGACAUUCAACUGCUCUGCCUCCUCUCAGCCUCCCAGACAGUUCAGCUGGUUCUUCAAUGGCUCCCAGGUGGUGACUGGCUCAGUGUAUGAGACUGGCCCACUGACCUUAGCCAGUCAUGGGGAGUACACCUGUGUGGCCUUCAACAACAUCACUGUCAGAAACAGCACUGUCUCCAAGAUGCUCACCAUCAUUGGUGAAUCAGACUACAGAUUGUUUGCUUUGUUGUGUUAAUUUACGAUCUGAUAAGAGGACAAAUAUCGCAAAAUACACAGAGUAUAGCAAAUAUUAGGAACACCUUCCUAAUACUGACUUUCCCUCAGAAAAGCUUCAAUUCGUUGGGGCUUGGAGUCUACAAGAUGUCGAAAGCAUUCCACAGGAAUGCCGGCCCAUGUUGACUCCAAUGCUUCCAAUAAAAAGCAUGAGCUGGUGCACACCGAGAGAAAAUUAUUAUGUGUAGAGGUACUGACUAACUGCGAAUAAACUGUAAGCUAUAGAGUCGCACAGUCUAUAUACAGUGCCUUGCGAAAGUAUUCGGCCCCCUUGAACUUUGCGACCUUUUGCCACAUUUCAGGCUUCAAACAUAACGAUAUAAAACUGUAUUUUUUUGUGAAGAAUCAACAACAAGUGGGACACAAUCAUGAAGUGGAACGACAUUUAUUGGAUAUUUCAAACUUUUUUAACAAAUCAAAAACUGAAAAAUUAGGCGUGCAAAAUUAUUCAGCCCCCUUAAGUUAAUACUUUGUAGCGCCACCUUUUGCUGCGAUUAUAGCUGUAAGUCGCUUGGGGUAUGUCUCUAUCAGUUUUGCACAUCGAGAGACUGAAUUUUUUCCCCAUUCCUCCUUGCAAAACAGCUCGAGCUCAAUGAGGUUGGAUGGAGAGCAUUUGUGAACAGCAGUUUUCAGUUCUUUCCACAGAUUCUCGAUUGGAUUCAGGUCUGGACUUUGACUUGGCCAUUCUAACACCUGGAUAUGUUUAUUUUUGAACCAUUCCAUUGUAGAUUUUGCUUUAUGUUUUGGAUCAUUGUCUUGUUGGAAGACAAAUCUCCGUCCCAGUCUCAGGUCUUUUGCAGACUCCAUCAGGUUUUCUUCCAGAAUGGUCCUGUAUUUGGCUCCAUCCAUCUUCCCAUCAAUUUUAACCAUCUUCCCUGUCCCUGCUGAAGAUAAGCAGGCCCAAACCAUGAUGCUGCCACCACCAUGUUUGACAGUGGGGAUGGUGUGUUCAGGGUGAUGAGCUGUGUUGCUUUUACGCUAAACAUAACAUUUUGCAUUGUUGCCAAAAAGUUCAAUUUUGGUUUCAUCUGACCAGAGCACCUUCUUCCACAUGUUUGCUGUGUCUCCCAGGUGGCUUGUGGCAAACUUUAAACAACACUUUUUAUGGAUAUCUUUAAGAAAUGGCUUUCUUCUUGCCACUCUUCCAUAAAGGCCAGAUUUGUGCAAUAUACGACUGAUUGU